UACGUAGGGGGCAAGCGUUGUCCGGAAUUAUUGGGCGUAAAGAGCGUGUAGGCGGUCCGGUAAGUCAGCUGUGAAAGUCAAGGGCUCAACCCUUGAAAGCCGGUUGAUACUGUCGGGCUAGAGUCCGGAAGAGGCGAGUGGAAUUCCCGGUGUAGCGGUGAAAUGCGCAGAUAUCGGGAGGAACACCAAUGGCGAAGGCAGCUCGCUGGGACGGUACUGACGCUGAGACGGCGAAAGCGUGGGGAGCAAACA
rnacentral:rRNA from 1 species